AGACACGCAAGAGCAGAGAAGACAACACUCGCCUGCGAGAAAAACCAUCGUCGCACAAACGUCAAGAAACGCAAUCAGCAAACGCAGCCUCGACUACGACUUCCGCAAUUGAGGGAGAGAGAGCAAAAGGAAAAAUUCUCGCCUCGGUGCGGACGCGUCGUUCUCGUCUGCUGCAAAAGUGCCUUUUUGCUCGUUCCACGUGGUCGCGAUUGGUGGGCCGGUCCGAGAAGGCGGAGAAAAGUGCGGUGAACGAAGUGUUCGGAACUGGGGCGCGCGCGUGGCCGUCGAAAAGUCGCGAGUGCAAAAAACGGUCAAAGCUAUUGGCUGGCGGAACAACGGCCUGCACGUGAAAUCGCACCGGCUGAUCGAGGGUUCGACGUCCCCGGAGGGAUUUCCAACACGCCAAGAACGACCCAGAUCCGGCAUUCUCGACCGGCACGCCCCCGCGACCAUCGGCGGUACCGAACCGCUCAGAGGACGGCCCAGCGGCCAAGCAACAGCGAGCACCACGCCUCUUUGGCACGCAAUCCCCCAACGCCGGUGUGAGACAAUCGCACGCACACACACACGGCGCAACAAACCCAAGAUCGACUCCGUGCAUACCGGCCUCGCACCACUCAUCCCGCAAUCCGACUGGCGGUCCGACAAGAACUGGAGGACAACUUGGAAGAAGCACACGAAAAGGGGGACGCAAAGUAAGUGUGCGAUCGAGAAAAGUGGGUGAUUCAGAUCUAAUUUU